CUUGAGUUGAGUGAGACUUUCAUGCUCAUGGUAUUAUUGUUACAAUGGAGGGUUUUUCAAAAGAGAAGGAAGGACAAAAGAUCAUGGGGUUUUGAUCUGUAGAUUGAUUGAUAGGCCUUUGCGUCCAACAAUGUUGAAAGGCUUCUACCAUGAAACUCAGAUACUUUCUUGGGUUCUGAGUUAUGAUGGUUUGCACUCUCCAAAUGCUUUGGCAAUCACAGCUGUAGGAAUAGCAGUGUAAUUUUUUUUUUCAUCUUUUUUUUUUAAUUUUUAAUUUUUAAUUUUUAAAUUAUCAUGUAUUGCCACUUCGAUAUCACAUUUAGAAUUUGAUAGACUAGCAUAUUUUUGUAGCCUGAUUAUAUAAUUUCCACAGUGCUUUAUCAGAAGUGUCAAAUGCAAAGACUAUUGCUAGAGUUUGAAUUGGCCUUGUUGGAGAAAAGUUUAUCGUCAAUCCAACAACAAAGGAGAUGGAAGACUCCAAACUGGACUUGCUGCUAGAAGGCACAUAUGAUGCAAUAUUAAUGAUCGAGGUAGACUCGUACUGCAGAUUAACUUGUUCUAACUCAUUGCAUUUCUUUUUAGCAGGAAACUUAUCAACUAUUUUAAUCUCUUCAUAAAUUGAUUGUAUUGAUUUUAUAUGUUGUGAUGGAUUAUCAUCUAGUAGUAGG